rnacentral:rRNA from 1 species
AUGUAUGAUAUCUGUCAACAUCAAGAAUCUACUCUUGCACAAGUCUGGGUGAGUGGUGAACUGCGCCUUACUUUUCGGAGGUGUGUGGAGGAAAGGACCUUAGUUAGGUGGAAUGAGCUCAUCAAGGUUGUCGAGCAAGCGUCUCUAUCUGAUUUUCUAGAUCAGCCUAUCUGGAUGCCGGAAUCUUCCAGCAAAUACUCUGUCAAAUCCUUUUAUAAGUUAAUUAACUUUGGAGGGAUAUCUUCUAAGAUUAAAGAUGACAUCUGGAAAAUCAAAGUUCCACCCAAUAUCCAUGUUUUCCUAUGGUUGAUUUACUAUAAUAAGAGCUUAACCAGAGAUAAUCUUGCCAAGCGCAGACAUGUAGAUGACAUGUCGUGUGUCUUUUGCAAUGAGCCUGAAACUAUACAACAUAUUUUGUUUGAUUGCAUUGUUGCUAGACAUGUUUUGGAUUUGGUAGCUGAUAGUUUUAAUGUUAUUGCACCUGAUUCUUUUGCUUUGCUAUCUUCCUUCUGGAAGAGGAGAAAAUAUUUUGAAGCUUUGAACAUUGUUACUGAUGCUGCCUUAUAG